GCCUCGGUGGCUCAGUGGUUGAGCAUCUGUCUUCCAUUCAGGUUGUGAUCCCGGGGUC
rnacentral:tRNA from 1 species